rnacentral:lncRNA from 1 species
GUGACCGGUACGGGAAGGAAGUGCAAUUAAGAAAUAGCAAUCCGUGGAGUGAGGAAUCGGUUGACAAACUCUAGAACCAUGAGACGGAGGAAAUUCUUUUUUACUCGUGUACAGAAGAGGAAACGCAAUUAUCAGCCGCGCGCUUGGCACCCUGCAUGAGAGGCGGUGGAACAAGGUUGAAAAACUGCCAAAAAAUGACGAUGUACUGCGCCUGCAACUGGAAAUAGAGGGUGCCAUGGAGAAAGUGAGGGAUAGCUUGCAAGAAACAAGCAGUCUGCUCAACUACGGCAAGCUGGCUCAAGCUGCGCUCACUUCGCUGAUCUUGUUUAAUCGGCGGAGGCCUGGUGAAACAGAACGACUGACGGUGGAUGAUUAUCGGGCGAAAACCUACGAAGUUAAUAAGGAUAUUACUGAUGAUUUGUCUGUGCUCGAACGCGAACUAUGUACAACCCUAGGUCACGUAAAGAUACGCAGAAAGCGAGGAAGAGAGGUCCCAAUGCUCCUGAAAGGCAGGAUAACCGAGGUCCUUGACCAUUUGGUUGCCUCCAGAGAGGCUUCUGGCAUUCAUGAAAGCAGCCCGUACGUGUUCACUGGUGAUGCAGCCAAGGACGCCCGGCCACUGAGUGGGAGCAAGUGUAUUUCUCAGUUUGCUGAGCGUGCAGAAGUUGUGAAUGUGACAGCUACAUCUAUGCGAAAGCAUAUCGCAACAAUGAUACAACUUUUGCAUUUGAGCGAAACGGAACUGGACGUUGUCGCGAGGUUCAUGGGACAUGACAUCAGGGCUCAUCGGGAAUAUUACCGCUUGCCCGAGCGGACGGUGUAUGGCGCUUAAGUCAGCGAGCUGCUCCUGGCAGUGAACAAGCCUGGCAGUGCAUACGUUGGUAAGGCGUUGGAAGAACUCGACCCCUGCACAAGUGAUGAAGACAAGAGCGUGGUUGAAGACCUGGGUGAGAGCUACGACAAUGAGGCGAAAAGACCAAAACGACAAAUGGAAGAAAGUGAAGAGGAAAAAGGAAAACGUAAACGGCAGAAGACAGAAUGUGAUGUGAUGCCUGCAAGUGGUGGACGUGAUGAUCAGGGCUCACCUUCCACCAGACAUUCCACUAACCGCCUUCCUGUCCCCGAGAGAAAGAUACGAAAGAUCUCAUGGACCGUUCGUGAAAUGCAAGCAAUUGAAAGUCAGAUGUCCAGGUCUAUGAGCGACUUGACCUGUCCCGGUAUGGCCGAUUGCAUCGCCGCUUUGCACGCCGAGCCAGAUUUGUGUCGUCGCUCCUGGACCGACGUGAAGUACUGUACAUAUAA